GAAAUGCGAUAAGUAAUGUGAAUUGCAGAAUUCAGUGAAUCAUCGAAUCUUUGAACGCACCUUGCUCUCCUUGGUAUUCCUUGGAGCAUGCCUGUUUGAGUAUCAUGAAAUCUUCAAAGUAAAUCUUUUGUUAACUCAAUUGGUUUCUACUUUGGUAUUGGAGGUCUUUGCAGCUUCACACCUGCUCCUCUUUGUUCAUUAGCUGGAUCUCAGUGUUAUGCUUGGUUCCACUCGGCGUGAUAAGUUAUCUAUCGCUGAGGACACUGUAAAAGGUGGCCAAGGUAAAUGCAGAUGAACCGCUUCUAAUAGUCCAUUGACUUGGACAAUACUUUUAUGAUCUGAUCUCAAAUCAGGUAGGACUACCCUCUGAACUUAAGC
rnacentral:misc_RNA from 1 species